UAUACAUUUUGCAAAUCUCUUUACUAUCUGGCUUCACAGAAGAGAGCUGAUUCUUGUAUCUGCCUCUGCCUUCACUCUACUGUGAUGUGUUGUCUGGGCUGAAGUACAUGAAGGAAUCAGCCUCACUCAGAUCUAAGUAGUUGGAACAGGGAGGAAUAUGUUAAUAGCCUUUUCAGAUAUUUGUGGGCAUUCCUCUUUGAUACUACACCCAAACUCGACAAGUGUAGUUUCUUCAAGUUAGCUGUCACGUGGACUCUCAAUCCCCAACAAUGAAUUUCUCAUGCUCUGUGACAUUAGAAUCUUCUACCCUGUGCUUUGAAGAGAUCUUCCACCCUCGCAUGAUUUUACAGUGCCAUACAUCGGUCAUCUGGAAGAUAGUGGUUUGCUGAGUUAUGGAGAAUUUCCAAAUGUUGAAAAAUUUCAUUCUACACUAUCAACAAAUCAAUUCAUUAAUAUCACUACCUAUCUCCUCAAAAAAGUCUUUAAAGCUGCCAGGCCUCUGGCC